rnacentral:rRNA from 1 species
CGAACGGGUGAGUAAUGCGUGACCAACCUGCCCCAUGCUCCAGAAUAGCUCUUGGAAACGGGUGGUAAUGCUGGAUGCUCCAACUUGACGCAUGUCUUGUUGGGAAAGUGUUUAGUGGCAUGGGAUGGGGUCGCGUCCUAUCAGCUUGUAGGCGGGGUAAUGGCCCACCUAGGCUUCGACGGGUAGCCGGCCUGAGAGGGCGGACGGCCACAUUGGGACUGAGAUACGGCCCAGACUCCUACGGUAGGCAGCAGAA